UGUUCCCACUUUCAUGGGUGUGGUGAUUAGCUUGCUUGGUGAAAAAUUUUAGUCAAGUCCGAGCCGAUUCGCGCUCCUUUCUGACCCUUUAAACUGAUUACAUUCUCAUAAAAUUAACACGUCCUUUGGCAUUUUCCCUCACUGUUGGGACCAUGGUUGUCGUGUGAAAACAAAUCUGUGUGACUCCGACUGGAAGAACGGAGAGUGCUAAAAAGCCCAGUUUCAGGUGUCAGCUGGUAAAGUGUGUGGGUGUGUGAGUGUGAGUGUGCGUGUGCGUGUAGGCACGUGUGUUUUUCUCAGCCCAGUCUGUAUUUGGAGCGGAGCGUGGCCUGAACACACCACAGAGGGACAAUGAGCGAGCUGGAACAGUUGCGGCAGGAAGCCGAACAACUACGCAAUCAGAUCCGGGAUGCCAGGAAGGCCUGUAGUGACUCCACUCUGUCACAGGUAAGAGACUUUCUCUCCACAUUCA